rnacentral:rRNA from 1 species
GACGAACGCUGGCGGCGUGCCUAACACAUGCAAGUCGAACGAACUCGGACUUCGGUCCAUAUGAGUGAGUGGCGAACGGGUGAGUAACACGUGAGAAACCUGCCUUAGAGACAGGGAUAACCAAGGGAAACUUUGGCUAAUACCUGAUGCCUUCACAGAAUCGCAUGAUUCAGUGAAGAAACGCUCCGGUGCUCUAAGAGGGUCUCGCGGCCUAUCAGCUAGUUGGUGAGGUAAUGGCUCACCAAGGCAUCGACGGGUAGCUGGUCUGAGAGGACGAUCAGCCACACUGGGACUGAGACACGGCCCAGACUCCUACGGGAGGCAGCAGUGGGGAAUCUUGCGCAAUGGGCGAAAGCCUGACGCAGCAACGCCGCGUGGAGGAUGAAGGCCUUAGGGUUGUAAACUCCUUUCGGUAGGGACGAAAAUGACGGUACCUACAGAAGAAGCCCCGGCCAACUACG